AUGGGUAUCGACCUCGUUGCCGGCGGGAGGAACAAGAGGACCAAGCGCGUCGCGCCCAAGUCCGACGAUGUCUACCUCAAGCUCCUCGUCAAGCUCUACCGUUUCCUGGUGAGGAGGACCAAGAGCAAGUUCAACGCCGUCAUCCUCAAGAGGCUCUUCAUGAGCAAGACCAACCGCCCGCCGCUCUCCAUGCGCCGCCUCUCCAACUUCAUGAAGGGAAAGGAGAAGAACAUUGCUGUGGUUGUUGGUACAAUCACAGAUGACAUGCGGAUCCAAGAGGUCCCAGCAAUGAAGGUUACCGCUCUGAGGUUCACAGAGACAGCGAGGGCAAGGAUUGUCAAUGCUGGUGGGGAGUGCCUCACUUUUGACCAGCUUGCACUCCGUGCUCCAACUGGGGAGAACACGAUCCUGUUGAGGGGACCCAAGAAUGCCCGUGAGGCGGUGAGGCACUUCGGCAAGGCGCCUGGUGUGCCGCACAGCCACACCAAGCCCUAUGUGCGCUCCAAGGGUAGGAAGUUUGAGAAGGCUCGUGGUAGGAGGAACAGCCGUGGCUUCAAGGUUUAA
rnacentral:rRNA from 1 species